rnacentral:rRNA from 1 species
UACGUAGGGGCCUAGCGUUGUCCGGAAUUAUUGGGCGUAAAGAGCUCGUAGGCGGUUUGUCGCGUCUGCUGUGAAAACCGGAGGCUCAACCUCCGGCCUGCAGUGGGUACGGGCAAACUAGAGUGCGGUAGGGGAGAUUGGAAUUCCUGGUGUAGCGGUGGAAUGCGCAGAUAUCAGGAGGAACACCGAUGGCGAAGGCAGAUCUCUGGGCCGUAACUGACGCUGAGGAGCGAAAGCGUGGGGAGCGAACUGG